rnacentral:misc_RNA from 1 species
GAAAUGCGAUAAGUAAUGUGAAUUGCAGAAUUCAGUGAAUCAUCGAAUCUUUGAACGCACCUUGCGCUCCUAGGUAUUCCUUGGAGCAUGCCUGUUUGAGUAUCAUGAAAUCUUCAAAGUAAAUCUUUUGUUAACUCAAUUGGUUUCUACUUUGGUAUUGGAGGUCUUUGCAGCUUCACACCUGCUCCUCUUUGUUCAUUAGCUGGAUCUCAGUGUUAUGCUUGGUUCCACUCGGCGUGAUAAGUUAUCUAUCGCUGAGGACACUGUAAAAGGUGGCCAAGGUAAAUGCAGAUGAACCGCUUCUAAUAGUCCAUUGACUUGGACAAUACUUUUAUGAUCUGAUCUCAAAUCAGGUAGGACUACCCGCUGAACUUAAGC